rnacentral:rRNA from 1 species
CGAGGGCUUCACCGCCUAUCAAGUCUUGACAAACUCCGAAUACUAUCACUUGAUCUUUGGGAGUGAGGGCAUGGGUGCUAAGGUCCAUGUCCGAAAGAGGAACAACUCAGACCACCGGCUAAGGUCCCGAAAUAAGGGCUAAGUUGAACAAACGAAGUAAAACUGCAAAGACAGCUAGGAUGUUGGCUUGGAAGCAGCCAUUCAUUUAAAGAGUGCGUAACAGCUCACUAGUCGAGGAGUUUUGCAUGGAUAAUAAUCGGGCAUAAGCCCUUUACCGAAGCUGUGGAUGUCGUAAGACAUGGUAGGGGAGCAUUCCGGCGGCGACGAAGGCCGUCCUCGAGGACGACUGGAGCUUUCGGAAAAGCAAAUGUAGGUAUAAGUAACGAUAAAGGGGGCGCGAAACCCCCUCGCCAUAAGACUAAGGAUUCCUGAUCAACGCUAAUCGGAUCAGGGUAAGUCGGGCCCUAAGGCGCAGCCGAACGGCGCAGCCGAUGGAAGAAACGGUAAAAAUUCCGUUACUGGAUAUAGGAGCGAUGUGGAGACGGAGAAGUGACACACCCGCCUGCCGACGGAAGCGCAGGUUAAAGGAAGUAGGUAAACGCCGGGCAGGCAAAUCCGCCUGGCGUGCCGAAGCUGACAGUAUCGAGAGCCCCCGGGCAAUCGAAUAGCGGUGGUAAUCAGGCUCCCAAGAAAAUCCGCUAAGCAUAUUCUAUAUUCACCCGUACCCCAAACGGACACACGUAGUCGGGUAGAAUAUACCAAGGCGCUCGAAAGACUCACGGUUAAGGAACUAGGCAAAUUGACCCUGUAACCUCGGGAAAAAGGGUCCCCAGUAAGAUGGGGCGCAGAGAAUAGGUCCAGGCAACUGUUUAACAAAAACACAGGGCUGUGCAAAAUUUCAAGAUGAAGUAUACAGCCUGACACCUGCCCGGUGCCGGAAGGUUAAGAGGAGAGCUUAUCGCAAGAGAAGGCUUGAAUUGAAGCCCCGGUAAACGGCGGCCGUAACUAUAACGGUCCUAAGGUAGCGAAAUUCCUUGUCGGGUAAGUUCCGACCUGCACGAAUGGUGUAAUGAUCUGGACACUGUCUCAACCGUGACUUCGGUGAAAUUGUAGUAUCGGUGAAGAUGCCGAUUACCCGCAACGGGACGAAAAGACCCCGUGAACCUUUACUGCAACUUAGCAUUGCGUUUGGGCAUUUGAUGUGUAGGAUAGUCCGGAGGCUACGAGCCGGCGACGCCAGUCGUCGGGGAGCCGUUGUUGAAAUACGGACCUUCGAAUGUUUGAGCGCUAACUCGCAGGAGCGAGGACACUGUUUGGUGGGUAGUUUGACUGGGGUGGUCG